CUCCGGUUGAUCCUGCCGGACCUGACUGCUAUCGGAUUGGUACUAAGCCAUGCGAGUCAUUGUAGCAAUACAAGGCGGACGGCUCAGUAACACGUAGUCAACCUAACUCGUGGACGUGGAUAACCUCGGGAAACUGAGAAUAAACCACGAUAGAUCAUAGUGCCUGGAAUGGCUUAUGGUCCAAACAGUUUACUGCCAUGGGAUGGGACUGCGGCCUAUCAGCUUGUUGGUGAGGUAAUGGCCCACCAAGGCUAUAACAGGUACGGGCUCUGAGAGGAGAAGCCCGGAGAUGGGUACUGAGACACGGACCCAGGCCCUAUGGGGCGCAGCAGGCGAGAAACCUUAGCAAUGUGCGAAAGCACGACUGGGUCAGUCCGAGUGAUUCCUGAUAAAGGAGUCUUUUAUCUGUCCUAAAAGCACAGGUGAAUAAGGGGUGGGCAAGUCUGGUGUCAGCCGCCGCGGUAAUACCAGCACCUCGAGUGGUCAGGAGGUUUAUUGGGCCUAAAGCAUCCGUAGCCGGCUACGCAAGUCUCCGGUUAAAUCCAGCUGCUCAACAGAUGGGCUGCCGGAGAUACUACAUAGCUAGGGAGCGGGAGAGGUAGACGGUAUUCUGUGGGUAGGGGUAAAAUCCACUGAUCCAUAGAGGACCACCAGUGGCGAAGGCGGUCUACCAGAACGCGUUCGACGGUGAGGGAUGAAAGCUGGGGGAGCAAACCGGAUUAGAUACCCGGGUAGUCCCAGCUGUAAACGAUGCAAACUCGGUGAUGCAUUGGCUUAUGGCCAAUGCAGUGCCGCAGGGAAGCCGUUAAGUUUGCCGCCUGGGAAGUACGGACGCAAGUCUGAAACUUAAAGGGAUUUGGCGGGGAGCA
rnacentral:rRNA from 1 species